rnacentral:lncRNA from 1 species
AUUUUCUUUUUGACAAGCAUUUUGCAAGUUUCCUGUCUAAUCAAACUUCCUGCGUGAUCGACUACAGCAAAAAGGUAACCUUCAUGUGAUAAAAAUAAAUUUAUAAUCUAUUUAUAAAUACUAUUUUGUUAAAAAGUUAUACAAAUGAUCUUCAAAUUUUUUGCAAUUCAAGCUUAAAUCUGUAGUGUCGAGUUCUCCUAUGAUAGUUUAAGGUAGCACACUAAAAUCAUGUUUUACAGUACGACAUGCGCAUAUUAAUUUCUUUUUUUUUUCACCUUAGAAGAUGUCGAAGUGUAGCACAACGCGCUGCGCGGAGUCACUCCACGCUGCGCGGACUCCGCGCUUCUUCAAGGUGGGAUCCAGUUAAAUUCUACUCUUUGCCAGUUAAAUUUCACUCUUUGCCUCUAUUGGAGAAGAAAUUACAGUGGCUCAUGGCCAAAACUGUACGAGAAUUCUGAGAUUGUUUAGUCCCCUCAUGGGUUUCUAUACAAAUUAGCGUAAUCAGUCUUUUUGUUGAUUCUUGUUGGUGACUUUAUUGAUGAAUAAGUUUAAUGAACUGAAAUUGUAAGUUUUAUGUCCUUUUAUUGUGUUUUUU